rnacentral:lncRNA from 1 species
AGGCAGAGGCAGAGAUAGGGCGGAGGCAGGCAGAUUUCUUUGAGUUUGAGACCAGCCAGGACUAUAGAGUAAGACCUCUCAAGCAAAAACAAGCGGCAUGGGGAGGUUUAUUGCUGGCAGCAAACUAGGAGCAAACUGGGGACCAUUCAAAGCAGUGUCUCCCUAGGCAUUCUGGCUCUCUGGCUUUUCUCUUUUCUUUUGGUGCUAGGACAGAAGAGACUUCUGUGUGUAAGGCUCUCCCUGCAGCUGAGUCUCCCUGCCCUCCCGUGCUUUCUGAUUCUGACAGGAUGAUGAAGAUGACUCAAAGGGGAUGAGGAACUCGGCUGGAAUCCACUUGCUCACUCCCAGCUCCAGAGAGAAGGAAGGAUUCCCUAGCACCCUAAGCUGAGGGCACUCCCCACAGCGGGCAUCUUCCAGCAUAAGCACUGCGGGCAGAACCUGCCCGGUGCUCUCUGUCCCACAUCUGCUGUCACGGUCGUCCUGGUCCUUUGGUUUCCUAGAUGGGCUUUUGAGUUUUCUACAACAAUUUUAGUGCUGCAGGUUCGCCCCUUCCUCCUGUGGUCCCAUUCCCAAGAGUCCCAUCUCCUGGCUCACAGAGCAACUCUCCUUUGAAAAGUCCUACCCCAUCCAAACCAUUUCUCCUCUCUUAUGCUCACCCUGCUAGCCUGGGCCAAUUUCCAAGCAGCAAAAGCCAUGUCUUGAGGGGUGGGGAUUCCUGGAAAAAGUAACUUGGAUGGUUUUGCGUCUGAGUUUCCAUAUUCCCAAACGCAUUCAAUGUACUUGAUGGUUCCUGGGCUUAUCGCUUCCUGGAAACCACUGGUCAAGUGUGCUCCCACCACUGCUUUUACUCUGAAACACACCUCCAGGAGGAGGGGUCAGCUGAAGUCUGCAGCUGGGAUAAUAAAAGCUCAGUAGAUUGGCACAACCUA